CUUACUUUUUUCCAUGUCUUCACAGAAUUUCCUUACUUUUUCCCCUGUGAACUGCGUUCCAUUAUCUGUUACUUUUGCCCUAAGGCUUUUUCAUUUUGGCGGGAGGCCUUAUUUGGUCUUCUGACCUUACUGCCCUAAGGCUUUCUUCCUUACAGAAUUUCCUUACUUUUUUCCCUGUCUUCACAGAAUUUCCUUACUUUUUUCCCUGUGAACUGCGUUCCAUUAUCUGUUACUUUUGCCCUAAGGCUUUUUCAUUUUGGCGGGAGGCCUUAUUUGGUCUUCUGACC
rnacentral:lncRNA from 1 species